UACGUAGGGUGCGAGCGUUGUCCGGAAUUACUGGGCGUAAAGAGCUCGUAGGUGGUUUGUCGCGUUGUUCGUGAAAACCGGGGGCUUAACCCUCGGCGUGCGGGCGAUACGGGCAGACUUGAGUACUGCAGGGGAGACUGGAAUUCCUGGUGUAGCGGUGGAAUGCGCAGAUAUCAGGAGGAACACCGGUGGCGAAGGCGGGUCUCUGGGCAGUAACUGACGUUGAGGAGCGAAAGUGUGGGGAGCGAACAGG
rnacentral:rRNA from 1 species